UAUUCUCGAACCCCCCUUAAGAGUGGUUCUAGAAUAGUUAUUCUCGAACCCCUAUCCACCAGAAAAACCUUCCGACCUGAACCAGUUCUCCUUCCUCCCACCUACCCUGUACCGAACUGUCCGAACUUCCCCAGAAGCGCUGCGCAUCUGGCCCUACUCCCGCCUCACCUUCUUCCCCCGACUGCGCACCCAGCCCUAAUCCCGCCUCACCUUCUUCCCCAGACGACUGUCGGCCAGGAGCUCCUCCAUCACGCCGUUGUGCUACGCGGCGGCCGCCGGCCAGGAGCUUCUCCGUGCUGCCCCUGUUCUGUGCGACCGCCGCCAACCCGGCGCUCCGUGACACCGUGCCAGUUAACCACGGCCGUUGGCGAACGCGGACCUCCUCCACGCCUGCCUCACCGGCCACCUGGCCUCCUGCACGGUAGCCGACCCCUCCUUCCAUCCCCUUCCCAGCGUCGAUUCUCGCGGAUGCGGGGCUUUGACUCGAUCGAGCGCCCGGCGUGGACUACCUCUGCAUCCACUUUGGUACUCCUCCCAAUUCCCAGACCACCAACACAACGCUACCAGCGAGUCCACAUCCAGUCACGAGGGAUCCACACGGGGACGAUUUGCAGUCUCGCACGGCCCUUCCCCAACCUCCCGCGCCAGCCACCGUCGGCCGCUGCCCUCCCCUCUCCAAUCCCCUGCCUCGCCCACCUCUGCGCGCUGGCCGGCAAGCUCCGCCCCAUCGUGGUCCAGGCUCGCUGCAGUCUCGUCUCAGUCAGGCACUCAGGCCGGCGUGGCCGUCGAGCCAGGCCAGGCGGCCGGCUGUGGCACUCCAUCGCUUGAUCUGAACUUGCCUGUUUCUGAGCUGCCGUGUUGUUUCUUCUGGUUGUUCUUUUGGUUCACAUUAUUGUUGUCUAACACAAUAACAGAAAUUCAAACAAAAAUAAUAGAGGAUGGUCUUCAGCGAGGACAAUCACCUGGAUGACAAACAAUAUGUUCAUCGGAGACAUUUGAACUAUUAUUUUGAGCAUUUCCUGAAGAAAAAAACUACGGGUUGUCACAUGUGUGGCCUCCGGUGCUGAGUGGAAGCUUACGAUUGGGUACUGAACCCCCGAAAGGCCGCCUCCCAGGCUGUGCUGCAGCGACGUGUGCACUGCAUCCUGCUGGCCAACAUUUGCAUCGGUGUCGACACUGCUGCUGCUGUAGAAAUCUCACAAGCUUGCCUCAUGGAGCGAUCUAGUCAGCUGUAUUGGGUUGGCUCAAUCCAAGAAAUAGUACCGAGAAAAAUGCAAGAAGUGCAGUCGUUCAGCGCGACUAGUCCUUGUGUUG